AAAUUGAAGAGUUUGAUCAUGGCUCAGAUUGAACGCUGGCGGCAGGCCUAACACAUGCAAGUCGAACGGUAACAGGAAGAAGCUUGCUUCUUUGCUGACGAGUGGCGGACGGGUGAGUAAUGUCUGGGAAACUGCCUGAUGGAGGGGGAUAACUACUGGAAACGGUAGCUAAUACCGCAUAACGUCGCAAGACCAAAGAGGGGGACCUUCGGGCCUCUUGCCAUCGGAUGUGCCCAGAUGGGAUUAGCUAGUAGGUGGGGUAACGGCUCACCUAGGCGACGAUCCCUAGCUGGUCUGAG
rnacentral:rRNA from 1 species